rnacentral:rRNA from 1 species
UUANAUUAUGGGGAAUAAUGCUUUUUAUAGAGGUAAAAUUUGAAUAAAAAGAUGAUAAUCUAGAUUUUCCGUUUUUUUGAAGCCUCGAAAUUUUGUUACGAGACCGGGAUUANAUACCCCGUUAUUCAAAAUGUAAAUUUUAGUUGUAUUUAUGAUUUACUUGGGUACUACNAGAAGUAUAAUAUAUUUUUAUAUGGUUCUUAAAACUCAAAAAACUUGGCGGUGCCUUACAUCCUCCCAGGGGAACCUGUCCUGUAAUCGAUGAUCCACGAUUUAACUUUCUUCUUUUUGAAUGGAAUGAUCAGUUUGUAUNCCGUCGUCGAUCAGAUCACCUUUAAGAGUUAUGAAGUUGUCAGUAAGAAGUUNAAAAAGGGUUAGAUUAUUAUGUAAUUGAUCUAGUUUUUAGGUUCUUGAUGUCAGAUCAAGGUGCAGCUUAUAAGGAAGUAGAGAUGGGUUACAAUAAUGAAUUAUUACUAUGAAUUUCUUGUUGUAAUUAGCGAGAUUGAAAGAGGACUUGGAAGUAAUUGGUUUAAAAAUAAG